UUUUUAAUCUUUGGUAGUAGUUGGGCGAUGGUUUCUUUGUCACGCGUAGAAAGUCGUUGGUAGUGGACGCACGAACUAGGUCGGUAGCUUAUUGAGAAAGAUUCUUCAUGGAAUGCAGUAUAUCAGUACUUCUGCAUCCUGUCAACUGCAUUCGUUGCGGCUCGAUAAGCCUCAAACUCUCCAGGGAAAAUCUGGAAAUGUGAGCUUGCACGUUACUGAAACACGGGCCGACAGAAGAUGAGACAGAGCCUCGGCCACUUGGGAGUACCAGAGGGCGACGUGACAUGAACAUCUUCGUGUGCUACGGUAGGUGCAUCCAGCUGUAUUACAGGGAUCGUCUCGAUUGUGACCGAAGUGAUCGACAAAGAUUAUAAUAUACAUCCUGGAGUUGUUGCCUGUAUCGGACAGAAUUAGUGCCAUUUGUGGCAUAUGGCGUCAGAAGACCUCAAACUGAAUAGCAGUGCAGUAGUGGUCUUUGAAAAUAGUUCUGGAACAUUUCUGAAUUUUGUGUUCAAAGACGUAGAACUAGGAGGAAAGUUAACAUGAUUUUGGGAUAGAUUCUGAACACAAAUGCAGUCUCUUUCCAUAAAUAGUUGUGAUAUCAGAAAAGACCUUUGUAGAUAUUUGAAGUGGUCACAUUUAGAAACACUCAACGUGAGUGGGUGCAGAAAUCUGAUGUUAUUCUGCUUAGUAACACUCUUACACAUUACAUUCCUGAGUCAGGAUAGUUCACUUUAACUUUUCAACAAUUUGGUUGGGUAAAUUUUGAAGAUUUCAUUAUCUACCCCUACUAUAGGAGUCAUCGUCUCAGCGCUUACCUGUUAAAAGUAGCCCAAUCAGCUGUCCCUUGCCCGUGGCUUAGGUGACGACCUUGUAUCUUCAAAGUUCCCUCGUCACGUUUCCAAUAUUUCUGCUGACUGCCUGCAUUUCGGUUUAAUUUAUAUGCAAUUAGUCUUGCAUAUAAAUGCUGGGUGUUGUAAUAUACCCACAUUGCACGUGAAAUGGUCGUAUUCUCUUUCUACAGUGGGUACGAAGCCCUCGUAAGUCGUAGAGAAAGUAUUUUCUCCACGCUCCUCAAAGUCAAUCCACAUAGGAUCAUUUCUGAGAGGAGUGGAGGUUGUUGCUAAAUCUUUGGCCACCUGGUGCUGGCCUCAUUUUUCAGUAGCUGGCUUCUAACUUGUAACUUCUCACUUAACGGUUCAUAUCGGGCGUGUCUGCCAUAGCUACCAGUUCAUUUGUAGUGCAGUGUGAGUUGAAGUGCCCACUCUUGGAAGAUGUUUAAUUUUUCCAUCUUUGGAGCUUAUUGUUUUUGACAAAUUGAGGUAUUUUCCGUAUGUAACAAAAGUUUCACCUCAUGUUUCGAUCUGAAUAUCUUCUGUACUUUUUGCCGUUGAAGUUAAUUCGACUGAAGGAUUCUCGGAAUUUGGAUGAGGGACUUUUGUUUCGAUAGGAUUUUUACAUUUAGGACGGUUCGAUGUGUACAAUUUUGGUUUUUCGUAACAAAUUCUUACUGUGAAAAGGAUUGUGAAAAUUGAAGGGAUUGCUAUGUACCAAGCUGUGUUACGGAUAAUGUGUCAUUCGUUUUAGUCAUGGAACUAUGAAUGUUGCAAAUGGUUGGGAGUUCAAAACCAGAGACAAGAUCUGGAGAUUCCUAUACAACUCUGAUGUAUACAUUUAAAGUCUCGAAGCAACUCAUCAGUGUAAAGU